rfam:Oryza glumipatula chromosome 6, whole genome shotgun sequence.
UUUAAAAGCAGUCAUAAGUUUACAUGUCUAACUUUGAUCAUCUGUCUUAUUUAAAAAUUUGUAUGAUUAGCAUUUUUUGUUGUUAUUAGAUGAUAAAACGUGAAUAGUACUUUAUACGUAACUUAUUUUUUAAAUGUUUUUUAAAUAUAAUAGACGAUUAAAAUUGAACAUAAAACUCAUGGUUGUACUUAAG